AGCACCUGGCAGGGCUGCCGCAGGAGACGCACAGCGUAGUUGUGAGGGACAUUGCUGAUGUCCAUCCCGUUGACCUGGGGGCAGGUGGAACAAUCGUGCGGUCAGCUCCACCUGCCACAACCCUUCCUGAAAGAUCCAGGCCCACAGAAAAGCCAGGAUCCUGUCUUUAAAGACUGCUCUGCUCUCCCGCCUCAUCCUGUGUCCAAUAACCGCACCUUCCAACAGCGUUUCUAACCCUGUUCUCUCCAAGCGUGGCCUGCAGCACCUCUCCAGGCCUCUGUGCUGACAGCUGCCUCACCUUAAGAGUCUCCUUUCGUUAUGGCAUCUGGAAAGAUCUCACAUGGCAGAUGAAGAAAUGCUGAAGCUUAGAGCAUUAAGCAACCCAGCCAGGGUCACACAGUUGAUAAACAGUGGCGCCAGUCCCUUUACUGACAUUAAAAGGAUGGAUAAACCAUGCCAGGAAGCUAACUCUUCCUAGUGUGUCUGAGGAAAUCCAAUCUCUCCCACUCCAGCCUGCCUACUCAUUGAACAUGGCUGCUAUCUCUGUCUUCUGGAAACAUGGCUCCAAUCCUGCAACAACUCUACACAAGAGCUCCCAGUGAAAGCUUUCACUAGACCUUGAUGGCACUAUGGUCAUUAUCUCGUCAAAACUGUGGUGGAUUUGAAGAGCUAGUGAUGAAGAAUGGAGGUUUCCUGUCCUAGAAAUAACCAAAGGCCCAGGCUUGGAGGUGGCAGAAAAAGUGGCACUUAAGUUACUAGCCCAGUAUUUGGAAUUUGUCAAAGCUAUAUUCCUCAGAAUUUACUUCAAGAGCUCCUUUGUAUCAGCAGAGAAUGAAGAACGGAGAAGAGGAGGAGGAGGUUGAAAGAAACUUAAGAGAUGUGGCAACUAAUUGCAACGUGUAGAUUGUAUUUAGCUCAUGAUUCACACACACUAGAUACUUGUUAUUAAAGAAUUAUGGUUGUUUUCGGUGUGA